UUCAGUAAACAGGAGAAAGCAGGCUGUGAAACAGUUUUCACCUCUCUCUGCCUCCUGACUGUAGGUACAGUGGGGCCAGCCACCUCACACUCCUGCUGUGUCUUCCUUACCAUCAAUGGGCUGUACUCUCAAACUGCAGGUUUUCAUGGUGCUGAACUGCAGGCAAAGCUUUCAUUGACUUCAGUGGAACUCCCCAGGGAUGCGCAGCAAGAAGCAGGUGUCCACGGGAGGCUGGGAGCAGCCAGGAAGAAAUCUCUCUAGGACAUUCUGUAGACCACUCUCCUGAUGGAGGAUGAAGGAGGGCUGAGUAAAUGAAUGGAAGAUGUGGGGCGUCUGCUAACCAAUCAUGACAGCUCAGGAGGGAACAAGAAUUCUGAUUCUCCAAGGACCUUAUACAGGGAACGACACCUACCAACAGGACUUAGCUGCACACCUUUGGGUCCAGGGGGACCUAUUGUGCCACUCUGGCUGUGUGAUCUAAGCCCAUUGUACACCCUCUCUGGAAAAUGGGAAUGCCAAUAGUGACUGUCUCCUGGUGUAAUUUGAAGAAUAAAUAAAUUAGAGAACGGGUUUAAG